UGACGGAACAAUCAGUUGUACGGACCUAGAGACUGGGAUUUCAUUGUCGCUAAUGAACCUUAAUCCAAAUGGGUGGGAGGGACCAAGCAGUUGGAGGAUGCUUUAUGGGUUGGAUGUCAACUCAGAAAGAAAUGUGGUCCUUGUUGCUGAUAAUUUUGGAUAUAUUUACAUGGCUGAUAUACGGAGCAAUAACAAAAUGAGCAAACCUACUUUGAUUCACAAGAAAGGAACUAAAGUUGUUGGUCUAAACUGCAAUCCUCUUCAACCAGAUCUGCUUUUAAGUUGUGGGAAUGAUCACUUCGCUCGAAUAUGGGAUAUGCGCCUCUUGGAAGCUGGGUCUUCUCUAUAUAAUCUUGAACAUAAACGUGUUGUUAGUUCUGCAUAUUUUUCACCACUAAGUGGAAGCAAAAUACUUACUACUUCACUGGACAAUCGGAUUCGUGUGUGGGAUUCAAUCUUUGGCAACCUUGAUAAUCCAAGCCGAGAAAUUGUUCAUAGUCACGAUUUUAACAGAUAUCUUACAGCAUUCCGAGCAGAAUGGGAUGCAAAGGACUCAUCAGAGUCUCUUGUUGUCAUUGGGCGUUACAUUAGUGAAAACUAUGAUGGAGCUGCUUUGCAUCCCAUUGACUUUAUCAACAUCAGAACUGAGCAGUUGGUUGCAGAGGUCAUGGACCCCAACAUAACAACUAUUAGUUCGGUGAACAAGCUACAUCCACGUGAAGAUAUUCUGGCGUCUGGUAGUUCAAGGUCUCUUUUCAUUUGGAGGCCUAAUAAGCUGGACAUUGCACUGCCAAGAGAAGAAAAGAGGAUGGUAUUAUGUGGGGAGUUGAGUAAAAAACGUAACAAGAAGCAUGGUGAUGACAGCGAUGAUGAUUCUGAGAAUGAUAUCUUCAUAAGCAAGGAUAUUAGAUUCAAGCAGAAGAAACAUGCAUCCAAAUCAUCUCCAUAUAAAUCCAGGAGAAGUUAACUUUAAGGGUGUGUUUAGG
rnacentral:misc_RNA from 1 species